GCAUCGGUGGUUUAGUGGUAAAAUUAGCCGUUGCCAUCCAUUGGACAGUUUCGGCUAGCCCCGGGUUCGAUUCCCGGCCGAUGCA